rnacentral:lncRNA from 1 species
AUUGCAGCUCAUUGGACGGUUCGUCUCCAUUCAGAGUUAUAGAAAUUGAGUCUAUAAAUAAUUGUCGACCCACUCUCUUGUUUUUUCCCCGCAUUGCUACUCCUACUCCUUUGUGGGUGUGCACAAAAGGGCAACCAGGUUCAAUGAACCUGGGAAUUUCUAUGGUGUUUAUCAUUCUUCAUAUACAUCACCCGUAAGCAUGCUCAUCACUAAGUUUAUAUACUUAAUAUAUUAUUUAUUUGCAUAUACCUAAUGAAGCGAAAUAAACAAUCUUUUUGCUUUCUUGGAUUUACUUAUUUGUGGUUUGUUAAUUAUUAUAUAUUAGAGACUUGUAUGUAUGUCAAAACGAAGCUUUGAAAUUGCAGACAAAAUGGGGUAAGAAGAGCAAGAAGAUAUAAACAUAUAUGUUUCAGUUUCAUUGACUUGUCGGCCGAUUCAUCACUUCAUUCUCAUGGUACGUACGUGAGUUUCCUCUUUCUUCCAUCUCUCUCUCUCUCUCUCUCCCUCUCUCUCUCUGUCUACAUAUAUAUAUAUAUACGUACCAUUGAUCAAAUACUUAUUUGCCAUAAUUUGAAUGUUGUUAUAAUUUAAUGAAAAUGUGACCACUAAUUAAGAGCCUAAGAGGUAAAAACGUUUCGUUGCAGUUUACUGCCUUGGCUAGUUGUUUUCAUUAGUUUCUUUCACGGCUGGCAAACAACAAAUGCAUUCUUCUUUGGGUAAAACACACACAGUACUAAGUUUAAGUAUUAGCACACGUUUCUAUAUUGUAUAUGUAAUAUGUGUAAUGUGUGUGUGUGUGAAAUAACUCGUUACGUGUUCUUGCUAAUAAUUAUGUAUCAAGUAUAUUGUUAAUUCUUAAUAAGCAUUUCAUGAACCUCACUUGGCCGGGUAAGGAGGAUUGAGAGGGUGUUUUUUUCGAAAGUUUUGUGGUUUAAUUUGCAAUACUAGAGUUUCCAAUAUCGGUUAGGGUUAAGUCAGUAUUCAUCCCCUAAUAUAUCUAUAUAUAUAUAUAUGUGUGUGUGUGUGUGUGUGUGUGUGUGUUUCUUUGGUCGAAUCAUCUCUUUCUAAAUAAGUAUAAACCUGCAAUCCUAUAUACUUGAUCAGAUGAGAUGAAUGCUAACUUAUCCGAAACGGUCUACUUGGUAAUUUGUAAGAUUAUGCAUGUCAAAAUCUAAAGGAAAGUAUGUUGGUGAUAUAUUGUUUAUCUUUCCUCCAUGCAGAGAGAUCAACCUCAAAGAUCCGGAGUCAAACAUCUAACUAUAUACAUAGUAUGGCAUCGAGAGAUUCAAGUAUGACACAAAAAUAUGAGUCGUGUUAAUGGCUUGGAGCCAAUUGGAGCAUGAAAAAAGAAGAGUUCCCCUAUUAGAAACUUCAAUCUCUUUUGUAAGAGAAAACCAAAAAUAAAGUUUAUGCGUAAUUGUUGUCUUGUACUUCAUUUUCAUUAUUUUUUCUAUUUUGCAUGGACAAACUAAGAUUAUAGUUGGUUGUAAUCCUAUUCUAUAACUGGGCCUUGCUGACGCAUUUAUGGGACUGACUGGGAGAUGUCCUUUUUAUCUA